UGCUAGGUAUCCAAACGGUUGUAUAAUUGUAGUUGGUCUAAUUCUCUAUGAAAUUGUCCUUCUUUGCGUAAAGUGAAAUCUUCCCAGUUUUAUUAAUAGCAAAUGUUCUAUUUCUUGCAAAAGUGGGAUAAAACUGAAGUCUUGUUCUUUUCGAUCAAUUCGAGAAACAAAAACAAACCCUUGGCCAAUGGAAUUUUAGGGAGUAAAGAUAGAACAUAUGUGGUUGAAGGAAACAUGCUUGGAGAACAAUAUGUUGCAGUCUCUGUCCGUGGCUCAAUCUAGGAGAUGAGAACUGGUUAGACCAUAUGAAAAACUCCAAACAGCAGGAGAUGUUGGUUAUGUUAUUGCUUGGCCUUCCUCACAUGUAAGUAUGUUUCCAUACAACCAUCAAGUAUGCUCCAAUAUCCACAUUUAAGAUACUUUAGUUAUCAAAAUCUUUGUGGCUGUUUUUAGGUAAGAAAAAAACUAAGCCAACCACUCCAACGAAGCAUUUGUAUGAUACACUUAUAAUUUAUCAAAGAACAUCUUAUCUUGCACUUCUAAAAACAUUGUUCAUUUGCUUUUCUAGGGCGGUUCAGGAUUUGGAAAGAGAGUGCAUUAAGGGAGCCAGGAGUAAUUGGGUAGUUCAGGAUUUGAAAAGGGAGCCAGGAUUAGUUUGUGAAUGAACAAGUGGUGUUCCUUAUGUUAUAUUUUAGCUUAAUUGAGAAACAUAGUUCUAGACUAUAGGAUAUUUCUUAUUUAUUUGUAUGUUCUGUAUGAAUGUAUGUUAUUAUUCAGUUGUGAACUUUGGUGUAAGUAUCUACUCAGCUUGCCAAUUUUGAUAAUGCGAUGUUUGCAAAUGCAAUCUACGAC
rnacentral:lncRNA from 1 species